AACCUGAAACCGUGUACGUACAAGCAGUGGGAGCACCCUUCGGGGUGUGACUGCGUACCUUUUGUAUAAUGGGUCAGCGACUUAUAUUCUGUAGCAAGGUUAACCGAAUAGGGGAGCCGGAGGGAAACCGAGUCUUAAUUGGGCGUUAAGUUGCAGGGUAUAGACCCGAAACCCGGUGAUCUAGCCAUGGGCAGGUUGAAGGUUGGGUAACACUAACUGGAGGACCGAACCGACUAAUGUUGAAAAAUUAGCGGAUGACCUGUGGCUGGGGGUGAAAGGCCAAUCAAACCGGGAGAUAGCUGGUUCUCCCCGAAAGCUAUUUAGGUAGCGCCUCGUGAAUUCAUCUCCGGGGGUAGAGCACUGUUUCGGCUAGGGGGCCAUCCCGGCUUACCAACCCGAUGCAAACUGCGAAUACCGGAGAAUGUUAUCACGGGAGACACACGGCGGGUGCUAACGUCCGUCGUGAAGAGGGAAACAACCCAGACCGCCAGCUAAGGUCCCAAAGUCAUGGUUAAGUGGGAAACGAUGUGGGAAGGCCCAGACAGCCAGGAUGUUGGCUUAGAAGCAGCCAUCAUUUAAAGAAAGCGUAAUAGCUCACUGGUCGAGUCGGCCUGCGCGGAAGAUGUAACGGGGCUAAACCAUGCACCGAAGCUGCGGCAGCGACGCUGAUGCGUUGUUGGGUAGGGGAGCGUUCUGUAAGCCUGUGAAGGUGGCCUGUGAGGGUUGCUGGAGGUAUCAGAAGUGCGAAUGCUGACAUAAGUAACGAUAAAGCGGGUGAAAAGCCCGCUCGCCGGAAGACCAAGGGUUCCUGUCCAACGUUAAUCGGGGCAGGGUGAGUCGACCCCUAAGGCGAGGCCGAAAGGCGUAGUCGAUGGGAAACGGGUUAAUAUUCCCGUACUUGGUGUUACUGCGAAGGGGGGACGGAGAAGGCUAUGUUGGCCGGGCGACGGUUGUCCCGGUUUAAGCGUGUAGGCUGGUUUUCCAGGCAAAUCCGGAAAAUCAAGGCUGAGGCGUGAUGACGAGGCACUACGGUGCUGAAGCAACAAAUGCCCU
rnacentral:rRNA from 1 species